AAGCUAAGAGGUCCAUCUCAGCCAUUUUGUCAUUUGAAACAGAACUGCAUGUAAGCGAAUAAGGAUUCCACUUCUGAGAACCAGAAGUCUUUCUUUCUUUUCUUUCUUUCCUUUUCUUUUUUUUUUUUAAAGGCAGAAUCUUAUGUAGCCAAGGCUAGUCCAAACUUACAUUGAGGCUGAGGGUAAUCUUGAACUCCUGGUCCUCCUGCCUCCACUUUCUGAAUGCCAAGAUUACAGGUGUGUGCCAUCUUACCCAGUUUAUGCCGUGUUCAGGAUGGAACUCAGGCUUCAUGCUUGCUAAGCAAACAUUCUACCGACCAAGUCACAUGACUCACAUCCCCAGCCCGGAAAUUCUUUCCUGAAGAAACUCCCUCCACCCUUUGUCCUAUGAAGGCUCUAUGUCCCAGUGUGGGGGAAUGCCAGGGCCAGGAAGCAGGAGUGGAUGGGUUGGUGGGGAGGGGGGAAGGGAUUGGGGAGGAGGGUUUCAGAGGGGAAAUCAGGAAAGGGGAUAACAUUUGAGAUGUAAAUAAAGAAAAUAUCCAAUUAAAAAAAACUUUGUAUAUCAAAAACAAAAACAAAAAAUAAACAGAAGAAACUGCUUCCAAAAGUAACUUUUGGAAAAACUGGUGUUCUUGGCUUAGUUCUGGAAGGGAAAGAAGGCAGAUUAUUUUUAUAAAAGUUAGGUUUAGGCCCUAGGAGCUCAGAGGCUAUAGUAAGGAUUGAGGUAGCUAAUCCAGUUAUAAGGCAUGAUACCUGACAACUGCUUAGUAAAUAAACGUAAUUCAUAUUAUCACAUCACCCCAGUGAUUUCAGACGUAUUUUUGAGUCCUUUAAAAUUGUCAUUAAAUAAUGAGUAGAAACUAAAGAAUGUUUAUUUAUUGUGUUUCAGAGGAUAGCACAAAACAUGAAUAGUCAUCAUUUAAGAACACUAGUGGUGCCUGUGGAUUCAUUUGUUCUCAUGCAAAUAUUUACAAAUAUUUCCCACAUAAUAUAAUGGCCAAGUCUCAUCUCUAUCCACUCCUGUUGCUAGUCACCUGACAGGUUAAUGACUGUCCUAUCUUCUAUGUUAACUGUUGUCUCAUAGUUCUCCACUGUCUGUUUGUACUUGUAAAUAACAAAGAUUUUUAGCUUUAGAUGUUUUAUGUGUUUUAAAAUAUAACCCAGAUGCUACUUGCUUUCAGUGGUUACAAUUGUGUUGCUGAGGUUAGGUCUCGUUGCAUAUGUAUCCAAUCUACUCUACAUAGACAUGGCUGCUCUUCUGCUGUGAUAGAAAAGGGCUGCUCUAUAUAGUCCCCACCUAUAACACCUGUGCUUAAGGAUGAUUAUGGAUUUUAUGAGAGAUUGAAAGGUGGUCAUAGGAUAUUAGGUUUUGUUAUUUGGCUUGAUUUUUUGAGACAGGGUCUUGCUAUGUAGCCCUGGCUGGUCUGGGGCUAUGUAGACUCGGCUGGUCUUGAAUUCACAGAGAUUUGCCUGCCUCUACCUCCCAAUUUCUGGGAUUAACGGUGAGCAGGUGCUGCCACACCUGUCAGGUUUGUGUGUUUUUAACCUUGUCAAAUCAUUCGAAAGCACUGACAGGUUAUGUUCCUUCUGGCCCAAGAGCCCCUAUGACUCCUGCACCAGUAUUGCUUGACUUCUUUUUGGUACUGUGGCUAUAGGCUAAUAAUCGCCUUUCAAGUUAAGUGGCAUGUCCCUCCUUUUCAUUUGCACAUUGGUCUAUUUAGUUUCCCCUUCUAUAAAGGAUGUAUACAAGUCUUUGCUCAGUUUUGAAUUGUGUUGUCUUUAUAACUUGUGGCAUUUCUUUAUAUUUAUGCUUGCAGGUUUUUCUGUUCAUGUGAGUUGCAAAGAUCUCCCCAGCUGUGGGUUCUUUAUCUUUGUUGUCUCUCUUCUGUUUGUAAGACUUCUUAUCGUGUGUGUGUGUGUGUGUGUGUGUGUGUGUGUGUGUGUAUUUCAUGCAUAUCUCCUAGGGUUUUACCACUUAGGUAUAUCCCCAGUCCUCUUUUUGCUUGUUUUAAAAUUUGAGACCUCACUAAGUUGCCUCAGUUGGCCUUGAACUCACUCUGUAGUCCAGGCAGGCCUUGAACUUGUGAUCCUCUUCCCUCAGCUUCCUGGGUACCUGGGGUCACAAGCCUAUACCAGCAGACCUAGCUCCAUUGAACAGUCCUUUCUGUGUCUAAGGAGACUUUCCUCCCCCAAGAUUAGGAAGGUGGUCUCCUAAAUUAGCCUCUAAAGGUCUUGUAACAUUUCACAUCGAACUCUCGGGACCUGUCUAGAGACUUCGUGGGCUGAGGGACCAGUGUGGUUGUUUUCCUUGUGUGGCUGUCCAGCUGCACCAGUAUCAUACAUUUAAAGGCUCCUCUUCCCUCUUGCCCCACACUGUCACUGCUGCCCUGGGUCAGAUGUCCAGACUUUGGUUUCUAGGCCGUGUCUAAGCUUUUCAUUUAAUAAUACUGGUCAGUACAUCCAUCUCUGUGUGGUUGUUACAUUGACAGGGUCUCUAGCCUAGGCUGCCCUAUUCUCUGUUGAAUCAUCUGUAUAUUUAGAGGGUGACCUUGAACUUCUGAUCCUCCUGCCCCAUCCUCCCAAGUGGUUGAUUACAGAUGUACACCCAGGCUAUAUGGCACUGGGGCUCUACGGCCUUAUCCAUGCUAGGCAAGCCCUCUACCAGCUGAGCAUCACCCCCUUCCUUAUUCUUACUGUGUUCUAGGUGAGAUAGGCUUCCCUGUAUCUUUGUGGAUACCUUCCUGGGUAUCACGGCCAUUUCAAGCCCUUUUAACCAAGCAGGUGCCAGGUGCCCAUUGAAACAGUUGUCUCCUAAAGUAGGCCAGGACGUCUCCUAAGGCUCAGACAUCACUUCAGAUUCUGAUUCAUUUACAGAUCAAAUGCUGGAAUAAGUGUAUUUGCUUGGGUUUGAUCUUUGGGGGCACAGCCAGGCUGUCAUAUUCAUGGUCGCUUUUGAGGACUCUGGUGUUACUGAAAUGUUAGCAUUGAUGCAUCAAGCUUACAGUGGCUCCAAGUGGAGCUGAUACCAAGGGUGACCGUCUUACUGUGAAGCAAACGUGCUUAUGCAACUUCCCAGUAGUUUUGUCAUCGACCCGAAGUUUGAUUUUUCUCCUGUUUAAGCAGAGAGCAUGCUCACACUUACUCGUGUGCUGUUCAUUGGUGAGGUCAGAGAAUCAAGAGCGCUUCAUGAAACAAUCAGAUGUUAAGGAAAGCACAAGGAAGUGGCUCUUCAAACCCAAGCUUGGGUCUUUAUGUGUGAACACCUUUAAGUAUAUUUUCAACUAAAAUAAAACAUCAAUCUCACUCUUCUAAAGCCCCCUCCCCUACAAGGAUCCCUAACGGGCACAGCUGGGAAGAUUUUUGUCAGGUUUCUUUUUUACAGUAGUAGAAACUAUGUGAGAAGACCUGAACAUAUUACUUAGCAGUAAUGACUGCUAACAUUCACACACUGUGCUAUAAUAAGCAUGAUAAAAAAAAAGUGGAUCUCAAGAGAUGGCUCAGUGGUUGAGAGUACUUGCAGUUCUUCAGAGGACCUGGGCUCAGUUUCCAACACCCACCGGGGGACUUACAACCAUCUGUAACUUCAGUUCUAGAGAUCUGAUACCCUCUUCUGGCCUCUCUGAGUACCAGGUAUACCCAUGGUUCAUUUACAUGCAUGCCAGCAAAUACCCAUAC
rnacentral:lncRNA from 1 species